UACGAAGGGGGCUAGCGUUGCUCGGAAUCACUGGGCGUAAAGGGUGCGUAGGCGGGUCUUUAAGUCAGGGGUGAAAUCCUGGAGCUCAACUCCAGAACUGCAUUGGAUACUGCCUCGCUAGAGUACUGGAGAGGGAACUGGAAUUUACGGUGUAGCAGUGAAAUGCGUAGAGAUCGUAAGGAAGGCCAGUGGCGAAGGCGAGUUCCUGGACAGUUACUGACGCUGAGGCACGAAGGCCAGGGGAGCAAACGGG
rnacentral:rRNA from 1 species